UCGAGAAUCUUCGGCAAUGGGCGAAAGCCUGACCGAGCGACGCCGCGUGCGGGAUGAAGGCCCUCGGGUUGUAAACCGCUGUCAGUAGGGAGCAAAUCUCUUGGGGUUAUCCCCUUGAGUUGAGCGAUCUUCAGAGGAAGUACGGGCUAAGUUCGUGCCAGCAGCCGCGGUAAGACGAACCGUACGAACGUUAUUCGGAAUCACUGGGCUUAAAGAGUCCGUAGGCGGCCGUGUAGGUGGGAUGUGAAAGCCCUCGUCUCAACCGAGGAAUUGCGUUCCAAACCACAUGGCUUGAGGAGGAUAGAGGUGAGCGGAACUGAUGGUGGAGCGGUGAAAUGCGUUGAUAUCAUCAGGAACACCAGAGGCGAAGGCGGCUCACUGGGUCCUUUCUGACGCUGAGGGACGAAAGCUAGGGGAGCAAACGGG
rnacentral:rRNA from 1 species